AUUGAACGCUGGCGGCAGGCCUAACACAUGCAAGUCGAGCGAGCGGCGGACGGGUGCGUAAUGUCUAGGAAACUGCCCGCGGGAGGGGGGUAACUACUGGGAACGGUAGGUAAUACCCCACACCCUCACAGGUGCCCCGAUGGGAUUUGCUAGUGGGUGGGGUAACGGUUCACCUAGGCGACGAUCCCUAGCUGGUCUGAGAGGAUGAGCAGCCACACUGGAACUGAGACACGGUCCAGACUCCUACGGGAGGCAGCAGUGGGGAAUAUUGCACAAUGGGCGCAAGCCUGAUGCAGCCAUGCCGCGUGUGUGAAGAAGGCCUUCGGGUUGUAAAGCACGUUCAGCGGGGAGGCGUUACCCGCAGAAGAAGCACCGGCUAACUCCGUGCCAGCAGCCGCGGUAAUAC
rnacentral:rRNA from 1 species